rnacentral:rRNA from 1 species
UUCGCAAUGCCCGAAAGGGUGACGAAGCGACGCCGCGUGUGGGAAGAAGGCCUUCGGGUUGUAAACCACUGUCGGGAGUUAAGAAAUGUAAGGGUGUUAAUAGCGCCUUUGCUUGACUAAGGCUCCGGAGGAAGCCACGGCUAACUCUGUGCCAGCAGCCGCGGUAAUACAGAGGCGGCAAGCGUUGUUCGGAAUUAUUGGGCGUAAAGAGCACGUAGGCGGCUGUGUAGGUCGGUUGUGAAAGCCUUCUGCUUAACGGAAGAACAGCAUCCGAUACUGCAUAGCUCGAGUGCGGGAGGGGAGAGUGGAACUUCUGGUGGAGCGGUGAAAUGCGUAGAUAUCAGAAGGAACGCCGGCGGCGAAAGCGACUCUCUGGCCCGUAACUGACGCUGAGUGUGCGAAAGCUAGGGGAGCAAACGGGAUUAGAUACCCCGGUAGUCCUAGCCGUAAACGAUGGGCACUAAGUAGAGGGGUUUU